GGCGAGUGGCGAACGGGUGAGUAAUAUAUCGGAACAUACCCUAGAGUGGGGGAUAACGUAGCGAAAGUUACGCUAAUACCGCAUACGCACUAAGGUGGAAAGCGGGGGAUCGCAAGACCUCGUGCUCAUGGAGUGGCCGAUAUCUGAUUAGCUAGUUGGUAGGGUAAAAGCCUACCAAGGCGACGAUCAGUAGCUGGUUUGAGAGAACGACCAGCCACACUGGAACUGAGACACGGUCCAGACUCCUACGGGAGGCAGCAGUGGGGAAUUUUGGACAAUGGGGGCAACCCUGAUCCAGCAAUGCCGCGUGAGUGAACAAGGCCCUCGGCUUGUAAAGCUCUUUUGUCCGGAAGAAACGGUGAAUUCUAAUACCGCUUGCUAAUGACCCCACCUGAAGAAUAACCACCGGC
rnacentral:rRNA from 1 species